GGACUACCCGGGUAUCUAAUCCUGUUUGCUCCCCACGCUUUCGUGCCUCAGCGUCAGUUGUAGCCUAGAUGACCGCCUUCGCCACCGGUGUUCCUCCUAAUAUCUAAGAAUUUCACCUCUACACUAGGAAUUCCAUCAUCCCCUACUACACUCUAGAUUAGUAGUUUUGAAAGCAGUUCCGAGGUUAAGCCUCGGGCUUUCACUUCCAACUUACCAAACCGCCUACGCACUCUUUACGCCCAGUAAUUCCGAACAACGCUAGCCCCCUCCGUCUUACCGCGGCUGCUGGCAC
rnacentral:rRNA from 1 species